ensembl:lncRNA
AUUUGAUGUAGCUACAUAAAAAUGUCCUAGCACUGCGCUGGAAGGCAGCUCCCCUCCGCGUGGAUCUGCAUGGGAACAGGGUGUGUGCAGCACGUCCCAUCCACGGCAGGGCAGAGCUGGGCCAAUGUGCAGCUGUGAGCGUGAGCGCGGUGAGCGGGCAGCACGUGCCGUGCCAGCUGUGCCCAACGCGCACCGGCAGCCCUCCAGCAAACGUCCCAUUGUGCUGUGCAUGCUUACUGGAAAGUGGCUUUGCGAGCAGAGCUAUUUCAACCAGCUGCUGGGGAACUUCAUGGAGUGCUGCAGGACCUCAGCGCACAGAGGUUGUCAUGCUGUGACCUGGGGGAGAACAAUGAGGGAAGCACAAAGGUUACCCAGAAAAUUGGUCAAUGGAGAAAGAAGGGCUGAGCCUCUUGCUGCAGCCUGCAGGACAUGGGGACGUCGCACCCAGCUCUCUCUCUGCACAGCAGGUUUGUUGCAGCCUCUUGUAUGGGCGGUGUCCUUCAGCUGGGGUUUAACUGGUGGCAAGGCCUAUUGUUCACACUGGGCAGAAACCAGAACAUAGGGGAAAUUCGCCCCAGAACCCAGUCGUUCUGAAGAAUGUAGACUCCUCUGCAAACAAUGACAGGCAGGGUGAGAGGAGGAGGAGGGUUCAGCUCCCCAUGAGCAAAGAAAGCAUGGUGAUCACUCAUGCUGAUGUGUACGGGGUGCUGCAGGUCUGUCUGGCAGGGCUGUGUCUGUGAAUGCAGAUUUAUACCACAGCCUAGAUGUAUCAUAGUAUAUAUAAUGCAAGUUUAUAUCACAAGCGUAGAUGUAAUGAAAGAUAGGAAAAGGAAGAGAUUAAUGGUCUUCUGUCCCCC